ACAGACAUACAUACAAACAGGGUCAUUGGUGCAGGCAGCUUCUUAGAAAAGAGAGCAAAGAACAUUUUUGGAGAAAAGCAAUCUGAGGUAUUAAGGAAAUGUCAGACAUGAAAAAUUACACGUUUUGCAUUACGUGUUGUGGCAGGGAUAUCAUUUAUAUUUGGACGGUUCCAAAUUUGAGUUGGUAUUGAGUGCAGAUAGUGUGGUCUUUUUAUACCGGGGCUAUCUGUUUAGAGACUAUCAUACAGGAUGUAGUUGGUU